rnacentral:piRNA from 1 species
UACAGUAAGAAGGUGGAGUACCUCUACUCGC